rnacentral:rRNA from 1 species
CGAACGCUGGCGGCAUGCCUAACACAUGCAAGUCGAACGAUUGCCUUCGGGUGAUAGUGGCGCACGGGUGCGUAACGCGUGGGAAUCUGCCCUUAGGUUCGGAAUAACAGCUGGAAACGGCUGCUAAUACCGGAUGAUAUCGCGAGAUCAAAGAUUUAUCGCCUGAGGAUGAGCCCGCGUUGGAUUAGGUAGUUGGUGGGGUAAAGGCCUACCAAGCCGACGAUCCAUAGCUGGUCUGAGAGGAUGAUCAGCCACACUGGGACUGAGACACGGCCCAGACUCCUACGGGAGGCAGCAGUGGGGAAUAUUGGACAAUGGGCGCAGGCCUGAUCCAGCAAUGCCGCGUGAGUGAUGAAGGCCCUAGGGUUGUAAAGCUCUUUUACCCGGGAAGAUAAUGACUGUACCGGGAGAAUAAGCCCCGGCUAACUCCGUG